rfam:Serratia sp. M24T3 contig022, whole genome shotgun sequence.
AACCUACUGUUGGUUAAUGCUACAUCAACAAGGUAAAGUUAAUCCUUUGGAGUAGAACAUGAGCGAUAAAAUUAUUCACCUUUCUGAU